rnacentral:tRNA from 1 species
GCGCCUGUAGCUCAGUUUGGAUAGAGCGUCGGACUUCGAAUCCGCAGGCCGCCCGUUCGAGUCGGGCCAGGCGCGCCA